UGCUAUUUCUAUGAACAGAUGAAUGAGUGUAUUUGCUGAUGCAGAUCAAGUUUAUCUAGGCCUACAGCGAUUGACACACUUAAAGUAAGGUUGUGUGGUGUUGACACUGAAGUGGUGGUGCGAAGUUGUUGGAGGUUUUGAUAAUCUAACGCAGAUUUGGCUUGCCUGCCGGGUAACUCCAACAUUGGUAACUGUGCAAGUGUUCAUCGCACUUGCGUUUGCCUUUAACCAAGGCCCUCUCACAUUGGUGAGAACAAAGUUCAAGUGUCAGCGUGCACUUGAACUUAAUCGCAGGUGUCAGCGUGCACCUGUGCCUGCCGGGUAACUCUGGCAUAAUUUUCCAUUUGUUGAAUUUUCAUCUCGAGAAUUCUCAUUUGGAAAAUUUUGCGUAACGCUGCUGGCGCUUUCUCAAGUUGUCUUCCUGCUUGAGACAGCGUGCAACUUUGCACGAGUUGCACAGUCCAGGCUCUCUCACGAGAACCUAUAGCAGCACAGCAGGCUGCACGCCUGUUAUAAGCAUAAGCAAACAAACAGCAUAAGCAAACAAACAACAAGCAUAAGCAAACCAAACUAAGAAACCAAGCAAAUCGUACAUACGAAGCAAAAUCAGGUGAACCUUUCUCAAAGUUAUGUGAAGAAGAAGAAGAUACUUCUCCAGAUUGACCAGCCAGCAGAAUAGUCCAUGAAAGCCUGAAGGAAAGAACUCGAUACUCGUUUCCCAUCAAGUUCAUUAAAGGUGCAUCUUGUCAAACCAGCUAUUCUUCAUUAUCAUUCCAACUAUUUUACUGUAUCAACCGUCAUUCUGUAUUUUGUCAUUGUUAUAAUAUAAAUAUAUUUU